rnacentral:rRNA from 1 species
GACGAACGCUGGCGGCGUGCUUAACACAUGCAAGUCGAACGGUAAGGCCCCAGCUUUCUGGGGUACACGAGUGGCGAACGGGUGAGUAACACGUGGGUGACCUGCCCCUCACUUCGGGAUAAGCCUAGGAAACUGGGGCUAAUACCGGAUACGACCGCCCCCUGCGGGUGGGGGGGAAGGUUGUUCGGUCGGGGAUGGGUGCGCGGCUUAUCAGCUUGUUGGUGGGGUAGUGGCCUACCAAGGCGGCGACGGGUAGCCGGCCUGAGAGGGUGGACGGCCACAUUGGGACUGAGACACGGCCCAGACUCCUACGGGAGGCAGCAGUGGGGAAUAUUGCACAAUGGGCGGAAGCCUGAUGCAGCAACGCCGCGUGGGGGAUGACGGCCUUCGGGUUGUAAACCGCUUUCGCCAGCGACGAAGGUUUUGUGACGGUAAUUGGUAAAGAAGCACCGGCUAACUACGUG